rnacentral:rRNA from 1 species
AUGGCGGCCGAACCGGACAAGUACAACCUAAACCAAGAACCGGUUGAGUCCACCGCCGCCGCGUCCUCCUCGCCCUCCGCCAAUGGGGCGCCGCGCACUGCGUCCUGCUCCUCGCCCUCCGCCAGUGGGGCGCCCCGCGCCGCGGCAGCCGAUGCCGGAGACGAUGAACUCUCCUCUCGGCCACCUCCCGCUACCCUGCGCGUCGGAAGCUGCACCACCCUGCUGCAAAUCCGCGAGAAGCCCGGAGACGGAGACGGAAGCAGCGGUGGCACGGGCGGGCCGAGCUCCGCGGCGGUGGCGUACCGAAAGGGCAAGAAUCUCGCAAUUUACUCCCCGCCACACCCCUGUUCGAGCUCUGGCAGCAGUUCUUCCUGCGGGGCCGAGGUCGACUCAUCUGUCUCCGGGAACGCAGUUAGUCGAUGGGAGGAUACAGAGAAGCAGAUUAUUGGAAGAAAAGAAAGGAGGAUAACUGGGGCAUAUGUGAAUUGGCAGACGAUUCCAAUGAAUGAAGCGCUUGAGCAUUAUUACAGUGAUCCAGUUGAUCAGUCUAUGUCAGGACAAGGUUAUUUGAAUGUGAUGAACCUUCAGGAGGCCUACUCAGAAUUUAGGCCAGUCCGUGGAGAUGGGGAUUGUUUCUACAGGAGCUUCAUAUUUUCCUACCUUGAGCAAGUUCUUGAUAGGCAGGAUACAAGUGAGGAAGACCGUGUCCUUGAUGCAAUUGAAAGAGUAGCUAGUAGAUAUGCACAUCUGACAUGGACCUCCAGAUUUUCUGUGAGCCGCAAAGCAUUUGAGAAGCUGAUAAAAAACGUAAUGGAAUGGAAGAGACAGAGGGAUACCUCAGCAUCAAGUAGCAGAUUAGUAGCAGCUGUCUGGAUAUGCUCGCACAGUGACUACUUCGAGCCUUUAAUAGCUGAUCUGGGAGAAACUUAUAAUCUGCAAGAUUGGUGCUUUCAAAAUGUCAUUCCAUGUGGUGAGUGGACAGAUCAUCUUGCAGUAAUGGCUUUGGCAACAGCCCUAGAGAUACCACUGAGAGUGAAGCAUCUGAAUGGUGGACCUGCUCAAGAUAUCUACACUGGUCAGGGAGUUCCUGUUGUUCAUGUGAUCUUGUUAUUAUACUCGGGGAAUUAUCAUGACAUCAUCUAUCCAGUCCGUUCAUCUUCUGAGACACUGUCAGUGCCCGGCACAACAAGUGAUUCCCAGUGCCAGUCCUACGAGGAAGUCGGGACAGCAUCGCUGCCCAGCGCGGCACGCGGCCUCACAUGCCAGGCGCUGCCAGGCACAGCAGGCGCUGUCCCGAUGCUAAUCCGCCCAGUCUGGCAUGAAAAUUCUGAGGAAGAGCUGGAGGGGCUUCGGCUACUUCUGCAACAGGGAAGUGUCACAAUUGCACUGGAUAUGGAAUUUAUGAGUACAGAAGGGAACCAAGUUCGCCCAGGAACAAUGACUAAGUGGUAUAGCAAUGUUUGCGAUUUGGUCAAUGGAGGGGAUGUUCUUCAACUAGGGCUGGCCAUUUCUCUUGAUACCGACUCCCCCCCUGAAGCAGUUCGUGUGAAUGAGAUAAAUCUGCAAGUUGAUGUCAAUAGCCGGCCGUACAACAAAGACACGAUCAAGUUUCUAACCAAUCAAAAACAUAAUCUUGACGCCCACAACACUGGUGGGGUCCCUCCCGCACAGCUAGCGGAUUGGUUACUGAAUGAGUUUGAUAGGUUUUAUGACCGGGAGGUGACCUGGGUUUUCUUCCAGGGAGACUAUGAUGUCGCAUUUCUGUUAAAUCUGGUCAGAAAUUUCUUGCCAGCUACCCUUGUUGAACAUAUGAGGAGGUAUACCUGCUCUCUACCCCAACUCUAUGAUGUUCGGGUAUUGUCGAGGAUUCUAUUUGGUAAAGAUGCAGGCAGUCUUGACUGGUUGGCAGAUAAGAUCAAUGUUCAGCGGACCGGCAACAGGCACUCAAGUGGAUCGGAUGCCCUCCUUACACUGGACUGUUUUUUUGAGCUGAGGAGGCGCCUCGGAAUUGACAGCAUACAACCAUUGAGGGGGGUUCUCUGUGGAUUAUAUGAUGUCGAUCACAUCAUCAGUAAAGCCCUCCCCAUGGGACAUGCCAAUCUCCAGGAAAUCGAGGUUUGGCGUGACAAUUUUGAUAGAGAAGCAGCUGUUAUUGCACAAGCAGUGCAGAGCAACUACUAUAUUGUGGGAGUAGAUGUUUGCUUCAGUCCAGCACUAGGUCACAGGCUCUUCCAUGAACAUUUGCAAGGUUGUUUUGAGCUCAUGGUGGAGGCACUCACUGCUGUGGGACACUAUGAAAUCUCACUAGCUCUUGUCAGCUACACUGGGCAGCUUCCAAUGGGAAGGUGGUGGAGAUUCCACGUAUCCGAGUCCAUUGACACUGAUGCCGCCAAGUACAUUCACUUUCCAAAAUUUGUUGAACUCAUUCACAGAUGCAACCUGAUUAAUGAUGAAAGAAUAAUAUGGGCCACCUAUGAGGGAGCAGAAUGUAUUGCAAGCCUCUGUCGUAUGGUGCAGCGCAGCGGCACCCGAACAGGUAUACCAUUGACAGUGUGUGGUUACCUACGUUGUCGGAGCUCCAUGUUCCCUUCGCUAUAUGAUAUUGGUCUGCUGGUGUCUCGGGAAAAGGAAAAUGCUUUGGCUGACAUUGCUCGUCCAUUGGGCUUGUCUGUCCCUGGCAACCAGUCUGGCUGGAAUGCUGUUUUGAGUGCGCAGGUUAUGGUUCGGCUGAGAGAACAAUUGGAGAAGUCGGAUGCCCUUCUCCUGGUCUAUAAAGAUCACCGCGGGAAACUGUUAGCCAGAUGCUGUCCGAGUUUCCACUUGCACCACUGA